rnacentral:rRNA from 1 species
UGCCAGCCGCCGCGGUAAUACAAAGGGUGCUAGCGUUGUUCGGAAUUACUGGGCGUAAAGAGCAUGUAGGCGGAUGAAUUAGUCAGAGGUGAAAGCCCCGAGCUCAACUUGGGAACUGCCUUUGAUACUGUUUAUCUAGAGUCCGAGAGAGGUUAGUGGAAUUCCCAGUGUAGAGGUGAAAUUCGUAGAUAUUGGGAAGAACACCAGUGGCGAAGGCGGCACGCUGGGGCACUACUGACGCUGAGGCGCGAAAGCAUGGGUAGCGAACGGGAUUAGAUA